rnacentral:rRNA from 1 species
AAUACAUGCAAGUCGAACGGAGAAGCCUAACUUAAGAUGCUUGCAUCGGAAGAUAGAUACUUCUCAGUGGCGAACGGGUGAGUAACACGUAGGUAACCUGCCCAUGUGCCCGGGAUAAUUUCUGGAAACGGAAACUAAAACCGGAUAGGUAAUAGAGAAGCAUUUCUGUAUUAUUAAAGAAGCCUCAAAGCUUUGAACAUGGAUGGACCUGCGGUGCAUUAGCUAGUUGGUAAGGUAACGGCCUACCAAGGCGACGAUGCAUAGCCGACCUGAGAGGGCGAACGGCCACAUUGGGACUGAGACACGGCCCAAACUCCUACGGGAGGCAGCAGUAGGGAAUUUUCGUCAAUGGGGGGAACCCUGAACGAGCAAUGCCGCGUGAGUGAAGACGGUCUUCGGAUUGUAAAGCUCUGUUGUGAGAGAAAAAGGAUAUAUAUAGGAAAUGAUAUGUAUUUGAUGGUAUCUCACCAGAAAGUCACGGCUAACUACGUGCCAGCAGCCGCGGUAAUACGUAGGUGGCGAGCGUUAUCCGGAAUGAUUGGGCGUAAAGGGUACGUAGGCGGCAUGAUAAGUCUGGAGUGAAAGGCUACAGCUCAACUGUAGUAUGCUCUGGAAACUGUCAAGCUAGAGUGCAGAAGAGGGCAAUGGAACUCCAUGUGUAGCGGUAAAAUGCGUAGAUAUAUGGAAGAACACCGGUGGCGAAGGCGGUUGCCUGGUCUGAAACUGACGCUGAAGUACGAAAGCGUGGGGAGCAAAUAGGAUUAGAUACCCUAGUAGUCCACGCCGUAAACGAUGAGAACUAGGUGUUGGGGGAAUAACUCAG